rnacentral:rRNA from 1 species
AUUCCAGCUCCAAUAGCGUAUAUUUAAGUUGCUGCAGUUAAAAAGCUCGUAGUUGGAUUUCGGGUGGGAAUGGCCGGUCCGCCGUUUCGGUGUGCACUUGCUACGCCCACCUUGCUGCCGGGGACGUGCUCUUGAGUUUGCGCUCGGGACACGGAGUCGGCGAGGUUACUUUGAGUAAAUUAGAGUGUUCAAAGCAGGCCUACGCUCUGAAUACAUUAGCAUGGAAUAACACGAUAGGACUCUGGCCUAUCUUGUUGGUCUGUAGGACCGGAGUAAUGAUUAAGAGGGACAGUCGGGGGCAUUCGUAUUUCAUUGUCAGAGGUGAAAUUCUUGGAUUUAUGAAAGACGAACUACUGCGAAAGCAUUUGCCAAGGAUGUUUUCAUCG